rnacentral:misc_RNA from 1 species
AAAGUCGUAACAAGGUUUCCGUAGGUGAACCUGCGGAAGGAUCAUUACAGAAUAAACUUGAUGGGUUGUUGCUGGCUCUAAUUUUUGAGCAGGUGCACACUUGUCAUUUUUAUCUUUCCACCAUGUGCACCUCGCGUAGGUUCUGAUGACUAAUACCCUUAAUCAAAGAGCACUUUGAUUAUUGGAAACUGCUGUUUACCAAAUAGCUUUUUCUGGUCUCAGGUCCUAUGAUUUUUAUAUAUACACCACUGUAUGUUUAAGAACGAAUUUAAUGGGCCUUUCAAAGCCUAUAAACAUUAAUACAACUUUCAGCAACGGAUCUCUUGGCUCUC